CCUACGGGACGCAGCAGUAGGGAAUCUUCCACAAUGGACGAAAGUCUGAUGGAGCAACGCCGCGUGAGUGAAGAAGGGUUUCGGCUCGUAAAGCUCUGUUGGUAGUGAAGAAAGAUAGAGGUAGUAACUGGCCUUUAUUUGACGGUAAUUACUUAGAAAGUCACGGCUAACUACGUGCCAGCAGCCGCGGUAAUACGUAGGUGGCAAGCGUUGUCCGGAUUUAUUGGGCGUAAAGCGAGUGCAGGCGGUUUAAUAAGACUGAUGUGAAAACCGUUGGCUCAACCCGAGAAUUGCAUCAGGAACCU
rnacentral:rRNA from 1 species